rnacentral:tRNA from 1 species
AGCCAUAUGGUAAACGUCAACGUAGCUGCCAUUUCUGAAUGCAUAAGCUUUCGACUCAUAAUCGAUUGGUCCCCAGUUCAAGUCUGGGAGGGGCCACCA